rnacentral:rRNA from 1 species
AUGAACGCUGGCGGCGUGCCUAAUACAUGCAAGUCGAGCGAACGGACGAGAAGCUUGCUUCUCUGAUGUUAGCGGCGGACGGGUGAGUAACACGUGGAUAACCUACCUAUAAGACUGGGAUAACUUCGGGAAACCGGAGCUAAUACCGGAUAAUAUUUUGAACCGCAUGGUUCAAAAGUAAAAGACGGUCUUGCCGUCACUUAUAGAUGGAUCCGCGCUGCAUUAGCUAGUUGGUAAGGUAACGGCUUACCAAGGCAACGAUGCAUAGCCGACCUGAGAGGGUGAUCGGCCACACUGGAACUGAGACACGGUCCAGACUCCUACGGGAGGCAGCAGUAGGGAAUCUUCCGCAAUGGGCGAAAGCCUGACGGAGCAACGCCGCGUGAGUGAUGAAGGUCUUCGGAUCGUAAAACUCUGUUAUUAGGGAAGAACAUAUGUGUAAGUAACUGUGCACAUCUUGACGGUACCUAAUCAGAAAGCCACGGCUAACUACGUG